UGGCUCUUCUCCCUGUUGUGAGUCAGUGAUAAGCAGGAAAGGCUAAACAUCUGCUGUGGUAAGACCAGGCGUGGUAAGACCAGGCGUGUGUGCUCAGACCUAGUUCUUUCCCUGGGCUGGGUUUCCUAAAUGCUGGUGACAAAC